CCUACGGGAGGCAGCAGUGAGGAAUAUUGGUCAAUGGGCGGGAGCCUGAACCAGCCAAGUCGCGUGAGGGAAGAAGGUACUGAGUAUUGUAAACCUCUUUUGCCAGGGGACAAAGCCGGCCACGGGUGUCCGUCAGCGGGUACCUUGCGAAUAAGCAUCGGCUAACUCCGUGCCAGCAGCCGCGGUAAUACGGAGGAUGCGAGCGUUAUCCGGAUUUAUUGGGUUUAAAGGGUGCGCAGGCGGCGUGUCAAGUCAGCGGUAAAAUGUCGGGGCUAAACCCCGGCCGGCCGUUGAAACUGGCGUGCUCGAGUGGGAGAGAAGUAGGCGGAAUGCGUGGUGUAGCGGUGAAAUGCAUAGAGAUCACGAAGAACCCCGAUUGCGAAGGCAGCAUACCGGCUCAAAACUGACGCUGAGGCACGAAAGCGUGGGUAUCGAACAGGAUUAGAUACCCGUGUAGUC
rnacentral:rRNA from 1 species